GGCGUGCUGUGGUGCAGGUGGCCGAAGGGGGCGUUACUGUUGCGACUGCCAUCCGCAUCCGGCAGAUGUAGAUGGAACCAAAGUCCAGAAGUUACGCGUCACCCUUGCUCUACAGCCAAACAUGCAGGACUCUAGUAACCCGCGAAAUGAUGGGAUAGCGUUGCAAAUCCUUAAAAGAGUCUUACGGAGAAGGAAAAAUGUUACAUUGUCAAAGUCCCAAAGCCUUUCAGCCUGAAGCCAGGAACAAUUGUUCAAAGUUUCUUUGGAACAUCAAGGAAGGAAAUCUGGAUUUUACUUUAAGUGCAAUGGGGAGUCAUUAAGGAUUUUGUGUAGAUACAGCAAAAAGGCAACAAUCUUCAAACCACAAUGGCCCUCACCAGAACCCAGCCAUGUGGUCAGCCUGAUCUCGGACUUCACAGCCAG
rnacentral:lncRNA from 1 species